AGUGAACGCUGGCGGUAGGCCUAACACAUGCAAGUCGAACGGCAGCACAGUAAGAGCUUGCUCUUACGGGUGGCGAGUGGCGGACGGGUGAGGAAUACAUCGGAAUCUACUUUUUCGUGGGGGAUAACGUAGGGAAACUUACGCUAAUACCGCAUACGACCUACGGGUGAAAGCAGGGGAUCUUCGGACCUUGCGCGAUUGAAUGAGCCGAUGUCGGAUUAGCUAGUUGGCGGGGUGAAGGCCCACCAAGGCGACGAUCCGUAGCUGGUCUGAGAGGAUGAUCAGCCACACUGGAACUGAGACACGGUCCAGACUCCUACGGGAGGCAGCAGUGGGGAAUAUUGGACAAUGGGCGCAAGCCUGAUCCAGCCAUACCGCGUGGGAGAAGAAGGCCUUCGGGUUGUAAAGCCCUUUUGUUGGGAAAGAAAAGCAGCAGGUUAAUACCCCGCUGUUCUGACGGUACCCAAAGAAUAAGCACCGGCUAACUUCGUG
rnacentral:rRNA from 1 species